GAUGUUUUGAACAGUACCAUUAGAUAGUAAUGGACUGAGAUCUACCUUUUGGCCUAGAAUUGUGUCUUUAGGGAUGUACCCCAGUUGUGGCUUGAAUAUACUUGGCCCAGGGAGCAGCACUAUUAAAAGGUGUGGCCCUGUUUGUGUGGGUGUGGCCUUGAUGGAGGAGGUGUGUCACUGUGAGGUGGGCUUUGAGACCUUCCUCCUAGCUUCCUGGAAGUCAGUCUUCUGGCUGCCUUUGGAACAAGAAGUAGAACUCUCAGCCCCUCCAGAGCCAUGCUCCUGCCAUGAUGAUAAUGGACUGAACCUCUGAACCUGUAAGCCAGUCCCAAUUUAAUGCUGUUCUCCUAAGAGUUAUCUUGGUCAUGGUGUGUCUUCACAGCAGUGAAACCCUAAGACACCAGUGGUUACCUUAGUCCAGUGGUUACCUUAGUCCAGUGGUUACCUUAGUUCAGUGGUUACCUUAGUUCAGUGGUUACCUUAGUUCAGUGGUUACCUUAGUUCAGUGGUUACCUUAGUUCAGUGGUUACCUUAGUUCAGUGGUUACCUUAGUUCAGUGGUUACCUUAGUU
rnacentral:lncRNA from 1 species